rnacentral:rRNA from 1 species
AGCUUGGUUCCCUGAUGUAAGGGGCGGAGGGGUGAGUAACACGUGGGUACCCUGCCUGUAAGAUUGGGAUAAUUCCGGGAACCCGGGGUUAAUACGGGAUGCUUGAUUGACCCGCAUGGUUCAAUUAUAAAAGGUGGUUUCUGCUAACCACUUACCGAUGGACCCGCGGGGCAUUAGCUAGUUGGUGAAGGUAACGGGUCCCCCAGGGCGACGAUGCGUAGCCGACCUGAAGAGGGUGGUCGGCCACCCUGGGACUGGAGACCCGGCCCAGACUCCUACCGGGAGGCAGCAGUAGGGAAUCUUCCGCCAUGGACGAAAGUCUGACGGAGCAACGCCGCGUGAAGUGAAUGAGGGUUUUCGGAUCGUAAAACUCUUUUGGUUAGGGAAGAACCAAGUAACGGUUCGAAUUGGGCGGUUCCUUGCCGGUACCUAACCAGAAAGCCACGGCUAACUACGUGCCAGCAAGCCGCGGUUAUUCGUAAGGUGGCGAAGCGUUGUCCGGAAAUUAUUGGGCGUAGAAGCGCGCGCCGGGGGUUUCUUAAAGUCUUGAUGUGAUAGCCCCCGGCUCAACCGGGGAGGGUCAUUGGAAACUGGAA